CGCGGUCCUCGGUAGUGAUCCCCGGGAACGGCCUCAAGGAAUGAGGCCCGGCCCGUGGGUCUCGAUCGAUGACCGGG
rfam:Arthrobacter sp. 49Tsu3.1M3 genome assembly, contig: G373DRAFT_scaffold00004.4